GUGGGACUGGGUGCGUCCUCCCUACCAGGUCACAGUCAAGUGACGGUCUGGGAGAAGUAGUGUGGGACUGGGUGCGUCCUCCCUACCAGGUCACAGUCAAGUGACGGUCCGGGAGAAGUAGUGUGGGACUGGGUGCGUCCUCCCUGCCAGGUCACAGUCAAGUGACGGUCCGGGAGAAGUAGUGUGGGACUGGGUGCGUCCUCCCUACCAGGUCACAGUAAAGUGACGGUCCGGGAGAAGUAGUGUGGGACUGGGUGCGUCCUCCCUGCCAGGUCACAGUCAAGUGACGGUCCGGGAGAAGUAGUGUGGGACUGGGUGCGUCCUCCCUGCCAGGUCACAGUCAAGUGACGGUCCGGGAGAAGUAGUGUGGGACUGGGUGCGUCCUCCCUACCAGGUCACAGUCAAGUGACGGUCUGGGAGAAGUAGUGUGGGACUGGGUGCGUCCUCCCUACCAGGUCACAGUCAAGUGACGGUCCGGGAGAAGUAGUGUGGGACUGGGUGCGUCCUCCCUGCCAGGUCACAGUCAAGGGACGGUCCGGGAGAAGUAGUGUGGGACUGGGUGCGUCCUCACUGCCAGGUCACAGUCAAGUGACGGUCCGGGAGAAGUAGUGUGGGACUGGGUGCGUCCUCCCUGCCAGGUCACAGUCAAGUGACGGUCUGGGAGAAGUAGUGUGGGACUGGGUGCGUCCUCCCUGCCAGGUCACAGUCAAGUGACGGUCCGGGAGAAGUAGUGUGGGACUGGGUGCGUCCUCCCUGCCAGGUCACAGUCAAGUGACGGUCCGGGAGAAGUGUGCAACCCCUUCAGCACCAACAGCAGAGAACUUUUACACACCUCUUACACACCUCUUACGCUUUCCUAAACCACCU
ensembl:lncRNA